rnacentral:rRNA from 1 species
UGGGGAAUUUUGGACAAUGGGGGAAACCCUGAUCCAGCCAUCCCGCGUGUGCGAUGAAGGCCUUCGGGUUGUAAAGCACUUUUGGCAGGAAAGAAACGUCGCGGGUUAAUACCCCGCGGAACUGACGGUACCUGCAGAAUAAGCACCGGCUAACUACGUGCCAGCAGCCGCGGUAAUACGUAGGGUGCAAGCGUUAAUCGGAAUUACUGGGCGUAAAGCGUGCGCAGGCGGUUCGGAAAGAAAGAUGUGAAAUCCCAGAGCUUAACUUUGGAACUGCAUUUUUAACUACCGGGCUAGAGUGUGUCAGAGGGAGGUGGAAUUCCGCGUGUAGCAGUGAAAUGCGUAGAUAUGCGGAGGAACACCGAUGGCGAAGGCAGCCUCCUGGGAUAACACUGACGCUCAUGCACGAAAGCGUGGGGAGCAAACAGGAUUAGAUACCCUGGUAGUCCACGCCCUAAACGAUGUCAACUAGCUGUUGGGGUCUUCGGACCUUGGUAGCGCAGCUAACGCGUGAAGUUGACCGCCUGGGGAGUACGGUCGCAAGAUUAAAACUCAAAGGAAUUGACGGGGGUCAUAGCUGUUUCCU